AGUGAACGCUGGCGGUAGGCCUAACACAUGCAAGUCGAACGGCAGCACAGUAAGAGCUUGCUCUUACGGGUGGCGAGUGGCGGACGGGUGAGGAAUACAUCGGAAUCUACUUUUUCGUGGGGGAUAACGUAGGGAAACUUACGCUAAUACCGCAUACGACCUACGGGUGAAAGCAGGGGAUCUUCGGACCUUGCGCGAUUGAAUGAGCCGAUGUCGGAUUAGCUAGUUGGCGGGGUAAAGGCCCACCAAGGCGACGAUCCGUAGCUGGUCUGAGAGGAUGAUCCGCCACACGGGAACUGAGACACGGUCCAGACGCCAACGGGAGGCAGCAGUGGGGAAUAUUGGACAAAGGGCGGAAGCCUGAUCCAGCCAUACCGCGGGGGUGAAGAAGGCCUUCGGGUUGUAAAGCCCUUUUGUUGGGAAAGAAAAGCAGCAGGUUAAUACCCCGCUGUUCUGACGGUACCCAAAGAAUAAGCACCGGCGAACUUCGU
rnacentral:rRNA from 1 species